ensembl:snRNA U1 U1 spliceosomal RNA
AUACUUACCUGAGAGGGGAGACACCAUGAUCAGGGAGGUGAUUUUCCCAGGACAAGGCUCAUCCCCUGCACUCCGGGUGUGCUGAACCCUCCGACUUCCCCAAAUGCAGGAAACUCAACUGCAUAGCUUUUGUUUUCUUUUGUUUUCUCAUGGCCAGGAG